AGAGAAUACUGCAGGACGGAAAUGGCGCGAAGAAGUAAAGAGUAGUGAACAUAUGUACACAUUUAUGUGUUUAUUCAACCAAAGUAUACAAUGUGCGGGGCAUAAUAUCAUCAUUAUCAGCAGCAGAUCGACAUGCACAUGCCUCGACAACGUGACCUCUUAUCUGAAAUUAAAAUUAUUUAAGUUUUUCUCUAUUAAUUUUCUUCUAUUUAUCCUACUUUUUAUAAAAUGAUGUACCUUUUGAGUAAAGCAUCCAUUAUCUAAAGCGUCGAAACCUUCGAUCAUUUUGCCACAAAAAUAACUGAUGUUUGCAACUGUAUGCGAAUAAAAAUUAAAAAAAUGUAACUCUGUAACUAUUGCAUUUUAAAAUUCAUCUUGUUACCUUUAUUAUUGAAUGUAUAUGUGUAUUUUAUGCAACUGUAACCUUCUUGCAAAUCACAAUAAAUAUCUGUUCGCUGUU